UAAGGAAUAUUGGACAAUGGAGGCAACUCUGAUCCAGCCAUGCCGCGUGAAGGAUGAAGGCCCUACGGGUUGUAAACUUCUUUUCUCUUAGAAAAAACUACUGGUUUCGUACCGGUACUGAUUGUACAAGAGGAAUAAGCAUCGGCUAACUUCGUGCCAGCAGCCGCGGUAAUACGAAGGAUGCAAGCGUUAUCCGGAUUCACUGGGUUUAAAGGGUGUGCAGGUGGGGUAAUAAGUCAGUGGUGAAAGCCCCCGACUCAAUCGGGGAACUGCCAUAGAUACUGUUAUUCUUGAGUGUAGUUGAGGCGGAUGGAAUAUGACAUGUAGCGGUGAAAUGCUUAGAUAUGUCAUAGAACACCAAUCGCGAAGGCAGUCCGCCAAACUAUUACUGACACUGAAACACGAAAG
rnacentral:rRNA from 1 species